GCUGGUCUGCUACCCCGCAUGUCCGUGGAAAUUCUACAGUUAAUACGUACCGUCUUCCUCGGAAGUGUUGCAUAUUACUGUGAACAUUCGGCGGGGGCAACCCUGUCAACCAUGAACACUUUUAUGCGCGAAUCGUGUCUCGACACGAGAGUCCAUCAAAGUUUCUGACCUAUCAGGUUCCGACGGUAGGGUAUUGGCCUACCGUGCCUAUAACGGGUAACGGGGGAUUAGGGUUUGAUCCCGGAGAGGGAGCAUGAGAGACGGCUACCACAUCUAAGGAAGGCAGCAGGCGCGUAAAUUACCUAUCCCUGACACAGGGAGGUAGUAAACAGAAAUAAUGACGCAUGAUUCUAAUCGUGCGAUCGGAAUGAAUAGCUUCUAAACAAAGCUAUGAAAUCCAUUGGAGGGCAAGUCUGGUGCCAGCAGCCGCGGUAAUUCCAGCUCCAAUAGCGUAUAUUAAAGUUGUUGCAGUUAAAAAGUUCGUAGUCGACCUUCAUCUGCUCGGGCGGUUUGGCGUCUAUGACGUUCAACCACUUUCAGCAGAGAGCGUGUAAGGCGCAUCCCAUGCGUUUCGUAUGUGGGUGUCUCUUGCAUCUUACUUUGAGUGAAUCGGCGUGUUCCACGCAGGCUGUCGCCUUGAACGAUUUACCAUAGAAUAACCAGAGUAUGGGAACAUCCCUUUGUUUGUUCGGGGGUGUUUUCUAUACCGAUAAGCACGGCCGAGGGCAUUCGUAUUCAACUGCCAGAGGUGAAAUUCUUUGAUUAGUUGAGGACGAACUAUUGCGAAAGCAUUUGCCAAGGACGUCGCUUUUGAUCAAGAACGAAAGUUAGGUGAUCGAAGAUGAUUAGAUACCGUCGUAGUCCUAACUAUAAACGUUGCUAUCCAAGCGUUGGAUUGGUGACAUUAUACCUUUCCAGUUCUUUUUGAGAAAUCACGAGUCUCUGAGUU
rnacentral:rRNA from 1 species